GCGGAAACGAGUUAUCUGAACCUUCGGGGAACGAUAACGGCGUCGAGCGGCGGACGGGUGAGUAAUGCCUAGGAAAUUGCCCUGAUGUGGGGGAUAACCAUUGGAAACGAUGGCUAAUACCGCAUAAUGCCUACGGGCCAAAGAGGGGGACCUUCGGGCCUCUCGCGUCAGGAUAUGCCUAGGUGGGAUUAGCUAGUUGGUGAGGUAAUGGCUCACCAAGGCGACGAUCCCUAGCUGGUCUGAGAGGAUGAUCAGCCACACUGGAACUGAGACACGGUCCAGACUCCUACGGGAGGCAGCAGUGGGGAAUAUUGCACAAUGGGCGCAAGCCUGAUGCAGCCAUGCCGCGUGUGUGAAGAAGGCCUUCGGGUUGUAAAGCACUUUCAGUCGUGAGGAAGGUAGUGUAGUUAAUAGCUGCAUUAU
rnacentral:rRNA from 1 species